CCCACCUUCCACCCCCCACCUCCCAUUUUUGCUUUGCUUGAACUCAAACUCCUGCCUGGGGUCGGGGGAAGAGAUCCCUUGAUGCUACAAACACACCAUUUAUUCUUAGUGACACAUAUUAAGACUCUUUGAAUAAUUUACUUGUCUCAAGUGCUUGUGAAACAUCAUUCAGGCUAAAUUACACAGUUCAUGAAAAUUGAUGAUAGCUCCAAAAAUGAUGUCGGUCUACAUAAAUGAUUCAACUGAAAGUUCUGCAAAAUUCUUAAAGACUCAUGAUCUUCAGAGACUGGAUCACCUCCGUGGACGGUAGCUGGGGGACAUCAUGCUACAUGAAGUACCCAGGCAGGGAAAGGCAGAACUAUCCCUGCUCCCUCAUCUAUGGAAGCUGAUCUUAUAUAAGCAGAAGCUCGAGUGUCCCCCUACUAGAGAGAAGCCGAGAAUAUGGGAGUGGGGUGGCAUGGACAGAGGGUGGUUAUGGGGUCCAAAAAGCCAGUAAGGGGAGAGGGAAAAAUUCCCUUCUGUAGCACAGUCGAUUGACUAUCUUUCCCAAUAAUUUAUUGUAUAUGUCAAAAUAGCAAGAAGAAAGAAUUUUGAAUGUUCUUGACAAAGAAAUGAUCGAUGUUCAAGGUGAUAAUUACCGUGAGCAUUACACAUUCAUGUAUCAAAGUAUCACAGCAUACUCUAUAAGUAUGUGCAAUUAUUAUGUAUCGAUUAAAAAUCAAAAAGAGAAAUCCUGCUGCUCUUUACCAGAACUUUCAAAUGGUGUUAAAUCUUGAAAAUCCAAAGGUAAAGCAAUGCUCUUUAUCAUUUUUGUUUGUAACUUUUUCUUCCGUGUUCCCCAAGUCUGAUCAAGGCAACACAAAAAGAGAUCUUCU
rnacentral:lncRNA from 1 species